GGUGGCUCAGUGGUAGAGUGCUUGCCUCGCAUGCAUGAGGUCCUGGGUUUGAUUCCACAGCACCA
rnacentral:tRNA from 1 species